UUAUGUAAACCAGCUCAACAUAUGUUGUAAUUGCCCAUUGGGGCAUUGUUGAGAUCCCACAGAGGGAUCGAUGUUUAUGAUUAUGUCUAUGUUCAGUGCAUGCACAGGUUGAGUUUGGUUGAUGUAUUUGGAAAGAAAAGUUUUAAUUUUUAUGUAUAUUGUUGAUCAUGUAUGGGAUUAUACAGGUUUACAGGUUAUAUGUCAGGCUUGCUACGGGUCCCGGCGGCCUUAAGCCG
rnacentral:lncRNA from 1 species